UGGGUAAUCUGCCCUCGAUUCUGGGAUAGCCCGGGGAAACCCGGAUUAAUACCGGAUAGCCUCUCGAGCUUUCGGGCUCGUGAGAAAAGGUAGCUUCGGCCUCCGAUCGAGGAUGAGCCCGCGGCGGAUUAGCUUGUUGGUGAGGUAACGGCUCACCAAGGCGACGAUCCGUAGCUGGUCUGAGAGGAAGAUCAGCCACACUGGGACUGAGACACGGCCCAGACUCCUACGGGAGCAG
rnacentral:rRNA from 1 species